CCUACGGGUGGCAGCAGUCGAGAAUAAUUCACAAUGGGGGAAACCCUGAUGGUGCGACGCCGCGUGGGGGAAUGAGGGUCUUCGGUUUGUAAACCCCUGUCAUGUGGGAGCAAAUUAAAAAGACAGUACCACAAGAGGAAGAGACGGCUAACUCUGUGCCCGCAGCCGCGGUAAUACAGCGGUCUCAAGCGGUGUUCGGAAUCACUGGGCGUAACGGGUGCGUUGGCUGUUUCGUAAGUCGUGUGUGAAAGGCGCGGGCUCAACCCGCGGACGGGAAAUGGUACUGCGGGACUAGAGUAAUGGAGGGGGAAGCGGAAUUCGUGGUGUAGCAGGGAAAUGCGGAGAUGGCGAGAGGGACACUCGAUGCGAAGGCGGGUUCCUGGACAUUAACUGACGCUGAGGCACGAAGGCCAGGGGAGCGAAAGGGAUUAGAUACCCUAGUAGUC
rnacentral:rRNA from 1 species